UUUGCGAUAGAUCAGUGGUAGAUCAACGGCCUUCUAAGCCGUCGGCAUAGGUUCAAAUCCUAUUCGACUUGAAAACGCAAAG
rnacentral:tRNA from 1 species